rnacentral:snoRNA from 1 species
UUUAAAUGAUGAGGAACCAGAUAGGGACAACAGAGUCUUUCAAUGACGAAGAACGUCUAUUAUUAGCCCAGUUUUUAGUAGAGCUUGGGCACCAAACUGAAC